UUUUAUCCACACCCACAAAACCUUCCCUCCUCAUUUCCCUCACUAAACAUGGCAACACUUCAUUUUACAACUUCUCCUUCUUUCACCCUCAUCUCACCAAAAAACCAAGCCAAUGUUGCUGCUGGUAUUCAUCUAAACAGUCCCUGGAAAACCAAAAAUCGUCGAAUAUCAACCGUUGUCCGGGCUUAUAAAGUAUUAGUAGAACAUGAAGGUAAAACUACAGAGCUAGAUGUUGAACCUGAUGAGACAAUCUUGUCUAAGGCUCUCGACGUCGGCAUGUCUGUACCAUAUGACUGCAAGCUAGGAGUUUGCAUGACUUGUCCAGCUAAGCUACUCAGUGGGAAAGUGGAUCAAAGUGAAGGUAUGCUCAGUGAUGAUGUUGUGGAG
rnacentral:lncRNA from 1 species